GCUGGCGGCGUGCCUAAUACAUGCAAGUCGAACGGAUCUCUGAUGGAGCUUGCUCCUGAUGAGGUUAGUGGCGGACGGGUGAGUAACACGUAGGCAACCUGCCCUCAAGAUCGGGAUAACAUUCGGAAACGAAUGCUAAGACCGGAUACACGGGUUUGGUCGCAUGAUCGGAUCGGGAAACACGGAGCAAUCUGUGGCUUGGGGAUGGGCCCUGCGGGCGCAUUAGCUAGUUGGUGGGGUAACGGCUCACCAAGGCGACGAUGCGUAGCCGACCUGAGAGGGUGAACGGCCACACUGGGACUGAGACACGGCCCAGACUCCUACGGGAGGCAGCAGUAGGGAAUCUUCCACAAUGGGCGAAAGCCUGAUGGAGCAACGCCGCGUGAGUGAGGAAGGCUUUCGGGUCGUAAAGCUCUGUUGCCAGGGAAGAAUAAGGGUGAGGUAACUAACUCAUCUGAUGACGGUACCUGAGAAGAAAGCCCCGGCUAACUACGUG
rnacentral:rRNA from 1 species